GUGGGGAAUUUUGGACAAUGGGCGCAAGCCUGAUCCAGCCAUGCCGCGUGAGUGAAGAAGGCCUUCGGGUUGUAAAGCUCUUUCGGCCGGGAAGAAAUCGUGGUCUCUAACAUAGGCCAUGGAUGACGGUACCGGACUAAGAAGCACCGGCUAACUACGUGCCAGCAGCCGCGGUAAUACGUAGGGUGCGAGCGUUAAUCGGAAUUACUGGGCGUAAAGCGUGCGCAGGCGGUUUUGUAAGACAGAUGUGAAAUCCCCGGGCUUAACCUGGGAACUGCGUUUGUGACUGCAAGGCUAGAGUACGGCAGAGGGGGGUGGAAUUCCUGGUGUAGCAGUGAAAUGCGUAGAGAUCAGGAGGAACACCGAUGGCGAAGGCAGCCCCCUGGGCCUGUACUGACGCUCAUGCACGAAAGCGUGGGGAGCAAACAGGAUUAGAAACCCCAGUAGUCC
rnacentral:rRNA from 2 species